CAUGACUUGAGUGGAACACCAUCUGAUUUGGACACGCAUGAUGUGCUACAGGUGCGUGUAAAAUCAGUGUGUAUCCCACUCCUUGCCAUG
ensembl:miRNA gga-mir-1593 gga-mir-1593